rnacentral:rRNA from 1 species
AGCGAACGCUGGCGGCAGGCCUAACACAUGCAAGUCGAACGGAUCCUUCGGGAUUAGUGGCGGACGGGUGAGUAACACGUGGGAACGUGCCCUUUGGUUCGGAACAACUCAGGGAAACUUGAGCUAAUACCGGAUGUGCCCUUCGGGGGAAAGAUUUAUCGCCAUUGGAGCGGCCCGCGUCUGGUUAGCUGGUUGGUGAGGUAACGGCCCACCAAGGCGACGAUCAGUAGCUGGUCUGAGAGGAUGAUCAGCCACACUGGGACUGAGACACGGCCCAGACUCCUACGGGAGGCAGCAGUGGGGAAUCUUGCGCAAUGGGCGAAAGCCUGACGCAGCCAUGCCGCGUGAAUGAUGAAGGUCUUAGGAUUGUAAAAUUCUUUCAGCGGGGACGAUAAUGACGGUACCCGCAGAAGAAGCUCCGGCUAACUUCGUG